UAAACCUAUGGUGUUAUGAUCACUGGAACCAAAGUGUUCCCCUACACACACUUCCAUCACUUGUCCUAACUUGUUUCCUAAUAGGAGACCUAAUAUUGCAUCCCCUCUAGUUAGUACCUCCACAUAUUUAUUUAGAAAACUUUCCUGAACACAGUUUACAAACUGUAACACAUGUAGACCCCUAACUGUAUUAGAGUCCCAUCAAUAUGUGGAAAAUUAAAAUCCCCUACCACCACAACUUUAUGUUUCCUGCAGUUGCCUGCUAUCUCUGUGCUUAUUUGCUCCUCCAAAUCUCGCUGACUAUUGGGUGGUCUAUAAUACAAUCCCACUAUUAUGGGCAUACCUUUCCUGUUUCUCAGCUCUACCCAUAAGUACUCAGUAGACAAGCCGUCUAACCUGUACUGCCUGAACACUGCUGUAACAUUUUCCUUACUACUAUAUGCUAUGACGUCAUAAUUCCACGUCUCAAUCCACGCCCUCAACUCAUCCGCCUUCCCCGCAAUACCGCUAGCUUUGAAAUAUAUACACCUCAGAAGACUUGUACCACCACUCACAACCAUUCUAUUUGCGGCUUUGCUUGAACUUUUAUCAUCAUUUAUUUUUACCCUAGCCUCAGUGUCAGCUCUGGCAUUCUGAUUCCCAGCCCCCUGCAAAUCUAGUUUAAAGCCUCCCCAAUAGCACUAACAAACCUCCCUGAAAGGAUAUUGGUCCCCUUGUAGUUCAAGUGUAACCCGUCUCUCUUGUACAGGUCUCACCUGCCCCAGAAGAGGUCCCAAUGAUCCUGAAAUCUGAAACCCUGCCUCCUACACCAGUUCCUCAGCCACUUGUUCAUCCUCCAGAGCAUCCUAUUCCUACCCUCACUGGCACCUAGCACAAGUAGCAAUCCUGAGAUUACCACCCUCGAGAUCCUGCUUUUCAAGUUCCUACCAAGCUCUCUAUACUCACUCUCCAGGACCUCCUCACUUUUCCUUGCUAUGUCAUUGGUACUGAUGCGCACCACGACAUCUGGCUGAUCACCCUCCCACUUCAGAAUGUCAUGCAAGCGAUCAGAGACAUCCUUGACACUGGCAGCUGGGAGGCAACAAACCAUCCUGGAAUUUCUGUCACGACCACAGAACCUCCUAUCUGUACCUCUAAUUAUCGAGUCCCCUAUCACUACCGCUCUCCUCUUUUUCCACCACAGAACCAAUUUCAUUUGAUAUUGUUCAAAUCAUUUGUAAGAAAAAAAAUAAAUGGGUGGUCUAUUUUCGAAAUUCAGACAAAGCAUUGAUGUGCAACUCGACUUGGGAGACCUCCUGUAGAAUUCGCUGCAGGAUAAUUUGAAGGUUUAGUCCAAUUUGGUGAAGGCAAAUAAGGUGCUAACCGUCGUGUCGUACCAGAAGAUGCAAGCAGGAAUAUAAAGUUGAGACUUUAUAAAAGCACUGGUGAAGUUGCUAAGAAAGGGGUAGGGGGGACAUUUGAUAUAUUUAUGGCAUAGCUUCUCAGAUUCCUGAUUAUUCAGUACAUGAAGGGUUUUGGAGAAUAAUAGAACGUUGGGGCUAAAAGAGAAAUAGAUCAGCCAAGCUGAAAGGCCAGAGCAGACUGGAUGGGCCAGAUGACCUAAUCAUUCUCCGAUAUUUUAUGUUCUUUAAUCGAACAUAGACAAAUAGAACGAGCUUCGAUGCCUAUUUCCUCGGCUGAAAGUGUUCGGCUAUAUUCGUCACUAACUUCCUUAUCUACCUCAGCUUGUAUUGCAUAACUGCAACGAACCAGCUGUAAAGGGACGGGUUUGCAAUGCUGUAACUGUAUGAAGCAUUGGAUUCCGGGAAUAUGCCUUAUUUUUUGCACUUUGUGACGUGUGUUCACGGCAUAGAAUCAUUAAUUCUAUGCCCUAAUCUAUUUGGGAGUGCAGCUUCAUUGAAAAAUUAUGUAUUUCCGGCCGGGAAGCAUGGUCAGCUGAAGACCAAGUUAGGAGGAUUAAAACUAUUGAUGACAUUGCCCAAACUAUUAAGUGACUUUGUCACCUUUUGUACUUGAGCACUAGAUCUGACGUCUUAUUUUGUCUCAUGGAUAAUUCCUGAACGCAUUGUUAUUUAUGGUGUUGAAUGACUACCAUCUAAAUAUUAUUUGGAUGUGAACAGUCCCACUGGCACUAUUCCAAAUAUUGUCCCAGAUCAGGAAUGACUUUUCUUAAACGCGGGCAGUCGUCAUCUGGACAUCUGUUGUCCAGUUAUCAGAGUAGACCUUGUCACACUUAAUUUAAGUACUACUUAUGUUGCUGAAACGAAGUUGUCGGCAUUCACAUCGUCUUUCAAGUUGUCUUAUAUUGAUCUGGCCGAACUUGGGGUAUGGAGUUGAGAUCUGGUUCAUCUGCUAUAAGAAGGAUGCCAUCAAAGUCGAAGGACCCGGUGCUUUUGGAAAUGUCGCCGAGAAUCGACGGACUGAACAGAGAUGCAGUGCGAAUACGACCUUCCGGUCCAACAAUCGGUACCGCCUGUCCAUCCACGUAUUUAACAGCAGCCUAAUCACAUGACAAUUGUGCUGCUAAUCGGCUGGUCUUUGGACUGUGGGAGGAAACCGGAGCUCAGCGAAAAAGAAAAACUUUUGGUAGAGGAUAAGAGAAGUAAAUUACGAUAUCUAAGCAAAAGCUGGAAAUGCUUCGUGCUACUGCUACUGUUGUAUUGUGUCUCUGUGUGUUUUUAUGUUUACGCUGCAUCGGAUCCAGUAUACAUAUUAUUUCGUUAUCCAUUAAAGUUAAGAAUUUCAAUGAAGCGGGUAAAUAACAAGCAGUGCUCAGUUCUGGUCGGCUCACUAAAGGAAGAGAACCAUAGAAAGAGUGCAGAGGGGAUUUACAAGGAUGUUGCCUGGAUUGUGGAAUCAUGCCUUAUGCAGAGGCUUUUUCCCAGGAAUGAAAUGGCUGCCACAGGAGGACGCUGGGGAGUAGUAUAGACGAAAUGUCAGGAGUAAGUUUCUUACGCAGAGGGUGGUGAGUGCGUGGAAUUGGCUGCCGGCAACGGUGCUGGUGGCGGCGGCGAUAGGGUCUUUUAAGGGCUUUUGGAUAGGGACAUGGAGCUUAGGAAAAUAGAGGGCAAAAGGAAGCCCUCGUAAUUUGUAAGGUAUUGUGCUGUUGGUUUUCUAUGUGUUAUAUUAUGAGAAUAGCAUUAAGCGAUCCUGAAACUUGAAUUUUCAAACAAAACAAACAAACAACAAAACGAAAAAACACAUAUGCACCAAAUAAAAACAACAAAUAUAUCGCUGUUUUAUAGCUCUUGGCCAUGUUUAGUUUACAUUAGCACAGCGACUGGUCUAAAAUCUUCUUCAGACCAAUUACAUAUAACAUAGAACAGUACGGCACAGUACAGGCCUUUCGGCCCACAAUGUUGUGCCGACCCUCAAACCCUGACUCCCAUAUAAGCCCCCAGCUUAGAUUCCUCCAUAUACCUGUCUAGUAGUCUUUUAAACUUCACUAGUGUAUCUGCCUCCACCACUGACUCAGGCACUGCUUUCCAUCCACCAACCACUCUCUGAGUAAAAAACCUUCCUCUAAUAUCCCCCUUGAACUUCCCACGCCUUAUCUUAAAUCCGUGUCCUCUUGUAUUGAGCAGUGGUGCCCUGGGGAAGAGGCGCUGGCUAUCCACUCUAUCUAUUCCGCUUAUUAACUUGUACACCUCUAUCAUGUCUCCUCUCAUCCUCCUUCUCUCCAAAGAGUAAAGCCCUAGCUCCCUUAAUCUCUGAUCAUAAUGCAUACCCUCUAAACCAGGCAGCAUCCUGGUAAAUCUCCUCUGUACCCUUUCCAAUGCUUCCACAUCCUUCCUAUAGUGAGGUGACCAGAACUAGACACAAUACUCCAAGUGUGGAGUAUUACCAACAAAGAAGUUCAGUUGCCAUUGCAGCGAAGUCUCAAUAUCGGUAUUAUGCUGAUAGUCUAACUGUUUUCUGAUAGCCUGAGCUACUGCAUUAUUGCACUGUGCAAUAUAAAUCUCAAAACUUUCUUAAACAUCCGCAACUGAUCGACAGGAAAACAAAAGUUUUGAAACAUCUGAAUAUGAUGAAUAACGACAGUGGAUGAAUAUUUAUUUUCCAUACCCAGAGAAAGAAGCAUUGCAGAUGAAGAGAAUGCAAGAUUCAGGAGAAAUGUUUAAGACUUAUAAGCAAAUAUUAAUGACGUUAACACGCGUUUUCGGAUGGACACAAGUGUUAGUUAAGUCAUCGUGUCAUAGAGAGAUACAGCAAAGAAUUACGUCUUCAGAAACUGACUCCUUGCUGAUCACAAACCACACCUUAUAAUCCAGACGUCUGCCCAGUAGAGGUAUCGAUGGACCUCUGGAUAUAUGUGGAGUCGCAUGAUUUGGUUCCAUGACAUGACGGUAAUGCAACGUUAACUGCUCAACUCUUGAGAUAAUUGCCUUCCAGGAUUCGCACAUUCAGCAAGAAAGUAUAGUAUUUUGUCUUCCAUUUGUGCCACUAUAUAUUAUGCAAGACUUGCUCUAUUUUGGCUGCUGCCAUUAGGAAUCAAAUGUAUAGGAGCCUGAGAUCCCACACGACCAGGUACAGGUGGGAGAGGACAAGUAACCAAGUGAUUAAGGCACUGGACCAGUGAUCUGAAUGUCGUGAGUUCGAGCCCAGGCCGAGGCAGCGUGUUGUAUCCUUGAUCAAGGCACUUAACCUCACACUGCUCUGCGACAACACAUGGUGCCAAGCUGUAUUGGCUCUUGCGCCUCCCUUCGACAACAUCGGUGUCGUGGAGAGGGGAGAUUUGCAGCAUUGGCAACUGCCAGUCUCCAUACAACCUUUUCCAGGGCAGCGCCCUGGAGACUGAAGACUUUCCAGUCGCAGAUCCAUGAUUUCGCAAGUCUAGUGGAUGACUUAAGGUCAGGGGAAGUUGCUGGCCUUUAGCCCUCAGGUUCUUUAUUCAUAGGGAUAAGAUCAUCACACAGCUUUACAUUUCGUCUCCGUUUAAAUGUGUGAUGAUCUUAUUCCUCAUAUAUGCGAAGGAUGUAAGGAAUAAAGUCAACUCAAUCCAAUUUCAGCAAUAUAGAACACUAGUUAGACCCUACUUGGAGUUCUGCGCUCACAUCUGGUCGCCUCACUACAGGAAGGAUGUGGAAAUUACAGAAAGGAUGCAGAGGAGAUUUACAACGAUGUUUUCUGGAUUGGGAAGGAUAUCUUAUGAGAAUAGAUUGAAUUAACUCGGCCUUUUCUUCUUGGAGCGUCGGAGGAUGAGAUGUGACCUGAUUGAGCUGUAUAAGAUAAUGAAAUGCAUUGAUCCUGUGGAUAGUGAAAUGCGUUUUAUUUCCCUCAGGGCUGAAAUAGGUAACACGAGACGGCAUACUUUUAAGGUGUUUGGAAGCAGGUACGGACGAGAUGUCAGGGGUAAAUCUUUUUAAGCAGAGUUCUGAAUGGAUGGAAUGGGAUGCCGACAACUGUGGUGGAGGCGGAUACGAUAGGGUCAUUUCAGAGACUCGUCGAUAGUUACACGGAGAUUAGGAAAACAGAAGGCAUUCAGUAACUCUGGGAAAUUUCUAAAGUAAGUGCAUAUUCGGCACAGCAUUAUGGGCCAAAAGCCCUGUAUUGUGAUGUAGGAUUUCAAUGUUUUAUGUUUAUAUGUAUUACAGAUCAUAGUUCACAAAAUACUGGACUGAAUUUGAGCACACACACAAACACGCACACACUCACAGACAAACACAAACAAACAGCACACACACGCACGCAAAUACAUACAAUAGGGUACCUACAUAUCGACAUACAUAAGUACAGAAGUGCAGCAUUUAGAAUAUAUACAUGACAACACGCGUAUACAUUAUAUGGAAAUCCAUGUACAUUCACAGAUACACGCUCGUGUGCAAAUUUAAUCUGGUUAUUUUGUCAGGAGGCAAAACUUCCUAAACGUCAAAGCACAUAAAAAUACUUACUUGAUUAUCAGAAACAAAUAUAAUCGAUGUAAUUAUUGGCUAAGAUGGUCAAUCGCUUAGUAUGUGUGAACAAAAUAUUGUUAGCAGAAGCACGUUUCAAGUAUGUAAAUAUAAUCACCUGCAAGAACACACUUAUUACCUGUACUUUCGUUCGCACCGAAUGAUUCUGCUUUUUCACCCUGCAAUAUUUGUGGUGAUCUUUCAUUUGUUACGUUUGGCCGUCUAAAAGCAUUACCGGCAGAGUUGUCGUGAACAAUAUCGCGUUCCCUCCAAUCGCCUUUUACUAAGUUGUCACGAUUUGUUGUUUUUGUUGCUGUUGUUGUUGUUGUUUUUUUUUGGGAUUUGGUCGUUUGUCAUAAACGUCGGUCAUUAUAGGAACUUUCGCAAUGACCUACUCAGAGUAUAUUGGCAGAGACAAAUGUUCGGAUGAACUGCAGUAUCUUGACUGGACUGAGAUUGUAGCGUGAACUGCGUUAGAAUCACUUCUGCAACAAAUAUGUUUUUAAAAACAGAUCGCAAUGUAAACAAAAUACAAUAUUUGUGUACUCUGUUGUUUGAAUCAAAAUAAUACCAUUUUUCUCGGCGGUUGAUCGGGACAGGGCUGCGCAAGCGCGUUCACUUCAGUCCGUGAGGCAGCGGGAGUAUUUAGAAGAGAGCAGUUUGACCGAGACGGCGAAGUUGUAGCGGGCGACAGAGCAGAGGGAGACAGAGUAGGAAGGCUUUGUCUCGAGAGGCUUCGGCGCGCAGAAGCUGAGGGCGAGUUUCCCUCCAAGUGAGGUAGGGCCAGGUAAGUUCCUUUAAAAGGAUAACGGUCUGCUGCGGUAUUUCAUUUGAAGCAAGGAAGGCGGUCAGACUGUACCGUAUUGGGUAGGUCAUGACAGUUGAGAUCGGCCCCGUGGUUUGUUCAUCCUGCAGCACGUGGGGAAUCAGGGAUGCUUCCAGUGUCCCUGACGACUAUGUGUGCAGGAAAUGUGUCCAGCUACAGCUUUUGGCACACCGCAUUGAGCGGCUGGAGCUGCGAUUGGAUUCAUACUGGAGCAUCCGCGAUGCUGAGAAAGUCGUGAAUAGCACGUUCAGUGAGUUGGCCACACCGCAGGUAAAGACUACAUAGGCAGAAAGGGAAUGGGUGGCCACUAAACAGCGUAGCAGUAGGCAGGUAGUGCAGGAGUCCCAUGAAGUCAUCUCCCUCCGAAACAGAUAUACUGUUUUGGAUACUAUUGGGGGAGAUGUCUCAUCAGGGGAAGGCAGCAGCAGCCGAGUUCAUGGUACCAUGGGUGGUUCUGCGGCACAGGAGGGAAGGAAAAUGAGUGGGAGAGCUACAGUGAUAGGGGAGUCGAUUGUAAGUGGAAUAGAUAUGCGCUUCUGCGGCCGCAGACGGGACUCAAGGAGGGUUUAUUGCCUCCUUGGUGCAAGGGUCAAGGAUGUCACUGAGCGGCUGCGGGACAUUCUAGAGUGGAAGGGUGAACAGCCAGAGGUCGUGGUGCACAUAGGUACAAAACGAUAUAGAUAAAAAACGGGAUGAGGUCCUACAAGG